AACGCUAGCUACAGGCUUAACACAUGCAAGUCGAGGGGCAGCAUAAAACUAGCUUGCUAGUUUUGAUGGCGACCGGCGCACGGGUGAGUAACGCGUAUCCGACCUACCCAUAACACGGGCACAGCCGCUCGAAAGAGUGAUUGAUUCCCGAUAUGUCUUGUGAGUAGAUUGCAAGAUGAAAGAUUUAUCGGUUAUGGAUGGGGAUGCGUAAGAUUAGGUAGUAGGCGGGGUAACGGCCCACCUAGCCGACGAUCUUUAGGGGUUCUGAGAGGAAGGUCCCCCACACUGGUACUGAGACACGGACCAGACUCCUACGGGAGGCAGCAGUGAGGAAUAUUGGUCAAUGGGCGGAAGCCUGAACCAGCCAAGUAGCGUGAAGGAUUACAGCCCUACGGGUUUUAAACUUCUUUUAUAUAAGAGUAAUGUGCACUACGUGUAGUGUAUUGCAAGUAUUAUAUGAAUAAGCAUCGGCUAACUCCGUGCCAGCAGCCGCGGUAAUACGGAGGAUGCGAGCGUUAUCCGGAUUUAUUGGGUUUAAAGGGAGCGUAGGCGGGUUAUUAAGUCAGUCGUCAAAGCCUGUGGCUCAACCACAGCCCGCGAUUGAUACUGGUAACCUUGAGUGCGGAUGAGGUGGAUGGAAUUCGUGGUGUAGCGGUGAAAUGCUUAGAUAUCACGAAGAACUCCGAUUG
rnacentral:rRNA from 1 species